UACGAAGGGGGCUAGCGUUGCUCGGAAUCACUGGGCGUAAAGGGUGCGUAGGCGGGUCUUUAAGUCAGGGGUGAAAUCCUGGAGCUCAACUCCAGAACUGCCUUUGAUACUGAGGAUCUUGAGUUCGGGAGAGGUGAGUGGAACUGCGAAGUGUAGAGGUGAAAUUCGUAGAUAUUCGCAAGAACACCCGUGGCGAAGGCGGCUCUCUGGGACGGUACUGACGCUGAGACGCGAAAGCGUGGGGAGCAAACAGGG
rnacentral:rRNA from 1 species